GUAACUACUAGUGGGCACUUCUUGUCACAUCGUAACAUACAAAGGUGUCAAACAACAAGAGACAUACCUCGCUACAAAGGAUACCACUGACACGAACAGAAGAUCUACGACAGUACAGUAUUUAUUUGAAAAGAACGAGAAGCCCACCUGAUUCAACACAUUUACAAGGACGACAAAACCAUUGACAUCGGAGAAAGAAAAACUAGCGGAUGUCAUUAAGCUUCCUGGUGAUAACAGUUCAACGACGCGUGUCGGAAUGUGAUAAAUGAUAGCAGUUUGUAUGUCCAUAGAGGGGAGAAGACAGACCCCUACACACGCUGCUGAUCUUUGAUAGGUGAAUGUGGUACAAACGAUCGAGGAUAUAAGUUUGACAGAGAUUUCGUGUAAGAAAGGACAAGCAGAGGUGGUGGCCACAGAGCUAGUGUGUCAAGGAGUGUCUGCUCAAGAAAACUGCAUUUAGAGACCAUUGUUCGACCUCUGCUAACUGCUUCAAAUACUGGUUACCAUGAGCCGUUAGAACUUAGUCACUGUUGGGUAGAAGGUGAGAGGUCAAGGUAUCAACCGACUCGAGUACGGCUGUAUGAUCGCUUUGGUACACUGGUGUGUGAUGCGGGGCAGGAGACACAGAUUAAUUGUUACUUCCAUUUUUAGUGAUUUAAUGAUUAAUUUGACCAGCUGUGUUGAAUAUUUAUUAUUUUUCAGUUUUAGUUUAAUUUUAUUCCGUCUCCUUUCCUAAAAAUAGAUCUUUCAUUUAAACAAGAACAAUGUCUUUAUCCUAUUUGGCAACAGUAUCUAGUAUGUCUUGUUGAUAUCGCUUCAUUUUGUGACACCUUGGAACCUCAACCCUGGCAGUUAUUUAUUAGUAGCUUUCCUCUUCGCCUUUUUAGUCUGUCCCCUUUGUUUUUGUACUUUGUAAACAUUUUUCGCGUAGUUGUUUCUUGUGCAACUCGGCUUUUCUGUAGUUCUAGUGAGCUCAGUGCCAGCUGAUACAUUGAAACGAUCUCGCUCUAUCAGACAGUCUUUAUUUAUUUAUUGAAUUACCCCUAUAUACGGUCACCAUGGUAGAAAUUGUAAGAAAACGAAAUACUUUCAGAAAUAUAGCUAAAAAAAUCUCUAUAUUAUAUGAAACAAGACACCAAUCACUAACAAAAUACUUUUGAUAAAUAACAGAGAUAUAGGAUUAUGAAAGAACUGACUCAAGCAUUUGGUUUCAUUCAAGACCAAAUGGACGCGUUGGUAGGCGGUGUUAAUGCCAAUCACAACUGUUGUCAAGAAGUGAGUCCCAUGUUUGUUGUGUAACCUUGUUGCUAGGGGGGAGUCAAUAAAAGGCUAUCGUUGCUGCCUUGAGGUGGGCACCCGUUAGUAUCUUAUCAAGCAGCAAUGAAGACAUUAGCUAUCUACAGUUUCCUUGCUCUUCUGCUCAUGCUGCAUGGUCAUUGGACUGCAGCAACUUCAACUUCAGCUUCAACUGACGCAUCAACAUCAGCGCAUUCAACUGCAGCUCCUACAACCACGUCACCAGGGAAUGGAAAUGCAGGCAAUGGAAGUGUAACUACUACCGCAACAGCGAUGAACAGCACGGCUACAUAUGUAGCGAUGUCCUGGCUGCCAGGCAGCAUCUUCAUGUUGACUGUUCUUCCACUUGGUCUCUUCUAAAACCUAGGCAGAUGUCCAGAUGAGGAGAUAUGUUCAGUCGACUACCAUUUCAACUCUGUAGUGCCUGGCAUCAUCAUGUGACUUACUGGACACUUUUUCUCCACAUGCAAUUGUUUUUCUCAACAACUGAACACUCUUUAAAAUAGGAAUUAAGAAGAGUCAUCCCUUGUGUAUCUAUACACUCAAACAUACACACAAAUACAUUCUGUCCAGCUAGAGACAUGUGAGUCCACGUGGGCAUAAACACAUCAAUAACAACAAAAUUUCAGUCGAGAUGAAACACGUAUCUGUUUUUUUUUUAUCUUGCUGCUUGUGACUGUUUUUUUAUUACAGAAUUUGUUUUCCAUUCUCUCUCUCUCUCUUAAUCUCUAUGGUAACUAAACUCACAAGUUUAAUAUGAACUAAGACAUGUAUAGUCUUAGGGAUUGUAUUACCAAGGAGGAAAGAAGAGAAUUCCACUUUCAAAGACCUUUCUUUUUAGAUAAUUUUAAUAAUUUAAUUGUUUUUACCUGUGUUGUUUCUUCCCUCUCUUUUAACUUAGUAUUAUUGUUUUUCUUAUUUUUAUCCUUUUGCUUUUCUUCCAAAGUUGCUAUUGCUAGCAUUUGACUAUACACCCUGCUGUCAUUCUUUCUUUAUCUGAUAGGUCUUAAUAGUAAAAUAAAGUUCAUCUAUUGCAGCUUU
rnacentral:lncRNA from 1 species